GUGGGGAAUUUUGGACAAUGGGCGCAAGCCUGAUCCAGCUAUUCCGCGUGUGGGAUGAAGGCCCUCGGGUUGUAAACCACUUUUGUAGAGAACGAAAAGACACCUUCGAAUAAAGGGUGUUGCUGACGGUACUCUAAGAAUAAGCACCGGCUAACUACGUGCCAGCAGCCGCGGUAAUACGUAGGGUGCGAGCGUUAAUCGGAAUUACUGGGCGUAAAGGGUGCGCAGGCGGUUGAGUAAGACAGAUGUGAAAUCCCCGAGCUUAACUCGGGAAUGGCAUAUGUGACUGCUCGACUAGAGUGUGUCAGAGGGAGGUGGAAUUCCACGUGUAGCAGUGAAAUGCGUAGAUAUGUGGAAGAACACCGAUGGCGAAGGCAGCCUCCUGGGACAUAACUGACGCUCAGGCACGAAAGCGUGGGGAGCAAACAGG
rnacentral:rRNA from 1 species